rnacentral:rRNA from 1 species
GACGAACGCUGGCGGCGUGCCUAAUACAUGCAAGUAGAACGCUGAAGGAAGGAGCUUGCUCUUUCUGGAUGAGUUGCGAACGGGUGAGUAACGCGUAGGUAACCUGCCUGGUAGCGGGGGAUAACUAUUGGAAACGAUAGCUAAUACCGCAUAAAAUUGAUUAUUGCAUGAUAGUCAAUUAAAAGGUGCAACUGCACCACUACCAGAUGGACCUGCGUUGUAUUAGCUAGUUGGUGGGGUAACGGCUCACCAAGGCGACGAUACAUAGCCGACCUGGGAGGGUGAUCGGCCACACUGGGACUGAGACACGGCCCAGACUCCUACGGGAGGCAGCAGUAGGGAAUCUUCGGCAAUGGACGGAAGUCUGACCGAGCAACGCCGCGGGAGUGAAGAAGGUUUUCGGAUCGUAAAGCUCGGUUGUAAUAGAAGAACGAGUGUGAGAGUGGAAAGUUCACACUGUGACGGUAUCUGACCAGAAAGGGACGGCUAACUACGUG